rnacentral:rRNA from 1 species
GACGAACGCUGGCGGCGUGCUUAACACAUGCAAGUCGAACGGAAAGGCCCUGCUUUUGUGGGGUGCCCGAGUGGCGAACGGGUGAGUAACACGUGAGUAACCUGCCCUUGACUUUGGGAUAACUUCAGGAAACUGGGGCUAAUACCGGAUAGGAGCUCCUGCUGCAUGGUGGGGGUUGGAAAGUUUCGGCGGUUGGGGAUGGACUCGCGGCUUAUCAGCUUGUUGGUGGGGUAGUGGCUUACCCAGGCUUUGACGGGUAGCCGGCCUGAGAGGGUGACCGGCCACAUUGGUACUGAGAUACGGCCCAGACUGCUACGUGAGGCAGCAGUGGGGAAUAUUGCACAAUGAGCGGAAGCCUGAUGCAGCGACGCCGCGUGCGUGAUGACGGCCUUCGGGUUGUAAACCGCUUUCGCCUGUGACGAAGCGUGAGUGACGGUAAUGGGUAAAGAAGCACCGGCUAACUACGUG